ACCUUUGCACAGGUGUGUGUGUGUGUGUGUGUGUGUAUAUAUAUAUAUAUAUAUAUAUACACACACACACAUAUAUAUGUAUAUAUGU